UGGCUCAGUGGUAGAGUGCUUGCCUUGCAUGCAUGAGGCCCUGGGUUCGAUCCCUCAG
rnacentral:tRNA from 1 species